rnacentral:rRNA from 1 species
CCUACGGGAGGCUGCAGUAGGGAAUCUUCCACAAUGGGCGAAAGCCUGAUGGAGCAACGCCGCGUGGGUGAAGAAGGUCUUCGGAUCGUAAAACCCUGUUGUUAGAGAAGAAAGUGCGUGAGAGUAACUGUUCACGUUUCGACGGUAUCUAACCAGAACGCCACGGCUAACUACGUGCCAGCAGCCGCGGUAAUACGUAGGUGGCAAGCGUUAUCCGGAUUUAUUUGGCGUAAAGGGAACGCAGGCGGUCUUUUAAGUCUGAUGUGAAAGCCUUCGGCUUAACCGGAGUAGUGCAUUGGAAACUGGGAGACUUGAGUGCAGAAGAGGAGAGUGGAACUCCAUGUGUAGCGGUGAAAUGCGUAGAUAUAUGGAAGAACACCAGUGGCGAAAGCGGCUCUCUGGUCUGUAACUGACGCUGAGGUUCGAAAGCGUGGGUAGCAAACAGGAUUAGAUACCCGAGUAGUC